GACUUCUCCAGCAUGGCUUGAGUUGCAGCUGAAUAGAUUCAGUUUGCACAGCACGGAUCAAGUUUCUUUCCUGCGGCCCACCACCACCACUCUUGUCCUGAAAAACAGUCAGAGCGGCGUCAAGAAGCUCCCAUCGAUAAACACCGUCGCCAGUUCUACAACAGCGCCACCGGAAACGGCGUCGGAUUCAACAUCACGAUCAAAUGCAGGACCACCAGUUGUCACCAGCUAAUCACUACAGGCGGCGUCGGAGACAAUGGUACAAUAGCUGCUCCAGCGCGCUGCCCAACAAUGCCUGGCAGAUGAAAGCUUGUGAAUUCUGGAUUAGGUCUCCGACAGGAACUAAGAUUCUGCUUACCUUCACCAAGAUGACUAUGAACACUACAUGUUCGGCGAACAGCGUCAUUGUGAAUAAAGAUGGCAAUGUCGCGUAUCCCACAGCUACCAGCCAAACAUUCUGUGGAACGGCCCUUCCAGCACCAAUCAAUUCUACAGCAAAUGCAAUCAAUGUGCUCUUCUUCAGUACAGGAAGUAAAGAGGUCUUCGAAGCCAAGUGGUCCGUGGUAUAAAACGUGAGAUUCUUGAACUGCCUGCCUCACAUCGACAGCAUUUCAUCAAGUUGAUUUGAGAGGAAUUUUGAACUCUGAGGUUUUAUAUCAUGUGCAAGUCAUGAAAGAGCAACCCACUUUGAAACUUCAAAUUAUACAUAUGUAUCGAUAUGGCACUGAGCUGCCCAUCUUUUGGCCUGCUAUUUUAAGCAAAUAAAGGUAAUUGCAUCA